CGGUUUCAAUCUGUUGCGGGCUGAUGAAGUGAAUAUGGGUGUCGAUACCGCCGGCAGUGGCAAUGAGGCCGUUGCCGCCGUGUACUUCCGUGGAGGCGCCGAUCACCAUGUUACGGUCUACGCCGUCCAUCGUGUCGGGGUUGCCGGCCUGGCCAAAGCCUACGAUUUUCCCGUCCCUGAUGCCGAGGUCUCCUUUUACGAUACCCCAGUGGUCGAUGAGCAUCACAUUGGUGAUCACCAUGUCCAGUACGCCCUGGUCGCGGGUAGCGGUGCUGGACUGGGCCAUGCCGUCG
rnacentral:sRNA from 1 species